rnacentral:lncRNA from 1 species
GUAGAGAGGGUUGCUUACUAACACAGCCAGGGAGGACUGGGGAAGGAUUCCAGCUGCCUGAGCUAAGCCAGGAAGGGAAAAUUGGAGUUAGCAAGGCAAGGAAGGUCAUUCCAGGCAGUGGAAACAGAAUGAGCAAAGGCAAGAGAAAAGGCUAUUUGCUUUUGAGCUACUCCGGGAGAGGAGCAGAGUCGGUUUGAGUUGCAUGACUGACAUCUUCUGGCUACAGUGGAUAUUACAGAAAGACUGAAACUCCGCAAAAGUGUGUUUGAAAAAAAGAAAAGCACCCUGGAAUUUGGAUCAUUAAGACUCUAGACAUGUGACCUGGAGAUGCAGCAUCCAUCUUGUGACCAUGAAGCAAUAGGGAUAAGGGUAAAAGUCUACACAUUGCAGAUUGCAGAUAAAAACAUGAAAAGAUCCUGGCUGCCUGAUGACACUACAGAGAAGAAAGAAAGGGAUGGUUUUAGAAAAUAUUAGGACAAAAAAUCAUCAACAGAUCUUGAUAACUGACAGGAUAUAAGGGGAGAAAUUGAGAGUAGAAAGAAGAAUGACGAGGUUUACGCUCUCCUGAGGAAGGACCCUCAAGAGAGGACCUUAUGAACACAAUUAGCUACUGAAAAAGACUUGGAAAAAAUUAUGGCACAAUGAAGAAAAUAAUCUUCAAGGCUCAGUGGAAGAAAAAGAAGAGAGGAGGUCUCAGAGAGGUAAUUCAUGAAGUGAGCAUCAAAGCAUGGAAUAACUAAUUGUGUUAAAGACAAAUGUGCCAGCAUGGAGCUAAAUUCGGAGAAAAAAAAAGUAAUGUCAAAAAGAAUGUGGCGGACAGGCAUGGUGACUCACAUCUGUAAUCCCAGCACUUUGGGAGGCCGAGGUAGGAGGAUUGCCUGAUAUCAGGAGUUUGAGACCAGCCUGACCAACAUGGAGAAACCCACUCAUGGUGGUGCAUGCCUGUAGUCCCAGCUACUCAGGAGGCUGAGGCAGGAGAAUCGCUUCAACCCAGGAGGCGGAGGUUGCAGUGAGCCAAGAUGGGGCCACUGCAAUUCCAGCCUGCGUGACAGAGCAAGACUGUCUCACAAAAAAAAAAAAAAAGAAAGAAAGAAAGAAUGUGGCAAUCAAUUUUACCUGGGAGGAGGGAGGAGUAAGGGAGGC